AAUGGGUCAGCGACUUAUAUUCUGUAGCAAGGUUAACCGAAUAGGGGAGCCGAAGGGAAACCGAGUCUUAACUGGGCGUUAAGUUGCAGGGUAUAGACCCGAAACCCGGUGAUCUAGCCAUGGGCAGGUUGAAGGUUGGGUAACACUAACUGGAGGACCGAACCGACUAAUGUUGAAAAAUUAGCGGAUGACUUGUGGCUGGGGGUGAAAGGCCAAUCAAACCGGGAGAUAGCUGGUUCUCCCCGAAAGCUAUUUAGGUAGCGCCUCGUGAAUUCAUCUCCGGGGGUAGAGCACUGUUUCGGCAAGGGGGUCAUCCCGACUUACCAACCCGAUGCAAACUGCGAAUACCGGAGAAUGUUAUCACGGGAGACACACGGCGGGUGCUAACGUCCGUCGUGAAGAGGGAAACAACCCAGACCGCCAGCUAAGGUCCCAAAGUCAUGGUUAAGUGGGAAACGAUGUGGGAAGGCCCAGACAGCCAGGAUGUUGGCUUAGAAGCAGCCAUCAUUUAAAGAAAGCGUAAUAGCUCACUGGUCGAGUCGGCCUGCGCGGAAGAUGUAACGGGGCUAAACCAUGCACCGAAGCUGCGGCAGCGACGCUUAUGCGUUGUUGGGUAGGGGAGCGUUCUGUAAGCCUGUGAAGGUGUGCUGUGAGGCAUGCUGGAGGUAUCAGAAGUGCGAAUGCUGACAUAAGUAACGAUAAAGCGGGUGAAAAGCCCGCUCGCCGGAAGACCAAGGGUUCCUGUCCAACGUUAAUCGGGGCAGGGUGAGUCGACCCCU
rnacentral:rRNA from 1 species